rnacentral:lncRNA from 1 species
CUAUUAUACCUUAAGCCUCCGUUUGGUUCGGGGUUAAGGAAAAAGUAGCUAUUCCAGGGAUAGGGUUAAGUUCAGGGUUAAAGUUUUUUUUGUGUUUGGUUGGAGGUUGGAGUUAGUAUAGGAUAGUGAAAAAAAUGUUUGGUUGGAGUAGGUGGGAUAAGAAGAUAAUGAUUGAUAAAGAAAAAAAAGGUGAGGGCUCGGGAUGCGUGCGGGGUUAAAGUUGAGAGGGGGAGUAGGGUUAAUGAUUGAUAAAGAAGAAAAAGGUGAGGGCUCGGGAUGCGUGCGGGGUUAAAGUUGGGAGGGGGAGUGGGGUUAGUAAACCCCACUAACCCGGGUUAGUAAAGAGUGGUGUUUGGGUAUAAAUUGGGGGUUAAGGGGUUAUUCCACCCCUUAACCCCCAACCAA